rnacentral:lncRNA from 1 species
GGUGAACCCGGAAAUGCUGAGUCAGGGUAUCCGAGGUGGCUGUCCGGAUGGCGGGAAUAAAUGGUCUAAGGCCCGCCUGUUCUGUGCCGUGACCUGUGCUACCGAAGUCAUCUGUUGCUGUAGGGAGGCCAGGGACUCAGCCGAUGCCUCAAUGGCCAACUGCAGAAGAUGGCCCUAUCUACAGAGACUCUGGCCGAGUCACUGGAGCUCCAUCAUCCCACAAAUCACUUUAGUUACUGUCAUUGAGGACCCUCUUUCAGCAUAACCAGGAGCUGACUCACCUACCUCUGCCCCGCAUCUGAGAAAUUGUCUGUGAAGGACCGGAUACCCCAGACUGCAACCUGUAUGCGACAUAGUUCUUACUAUUCAGAGCCAAGGAGUUAUAUGAGAAUUCUUGUCCCCUGGGAAGGGCUUCCCUAAAGUGUGGGCUGUGUCACUGGACCUGGAGAGAAAACAGAAAAUUUCCCUACUCCUGAGGAUAGGGCUCUAGGUUAUCUUGUCAGAGAUACCUUCUGCUUGCUGAUGAUCUGUGCAUCCUCUAGUGGGUACAUUCCCUGCACAGGUCCCAGGGGUCUAUUCAGUUAGAGGCAUAAUGACCUCACACUUACACCUUAAAUCUGACUGUGGUAUCAGGUGAUUAGUUACUCUUGACAGAGAGGCAAGAAAAGAGCCCUGUAAGAAGGAACCCAGCAUCGCCUUAAAGUCAUCUCUGAAAUAUAUGUACAUUAAUAAAUGGCAGAGAUAGAAUUCUAA